rnacentral:rRNA from 1 species
GACGAACGCUGGCGGCGUGCCUAAUACAUGCAAGUAGAGCGCACAGUUUAUACCGUAGCUUGCUACACCAUACACUGUGAGUUGCGAACGGGUGAGUAACGCGUAGGUAACCUGCCUGGUAGCGGGGGAUAACUAUUGGAAACGAUAGCUAAUACCGCAUAAUAUUGAUUAUUGCAUGAUAAUUGAUUGAAAGAUGCUAUUGCAUCACUACCAGAUGGACCUGCGUUGUAUUAGCUAGUAGGUGAGGUAACGGCUCACCUAGGCGACGAUACAUAGCCGACCGGAGAGGGUGAUCGGCCAAACUGGGAAUGAGACACGGCCCAGACUCCUACGGGAGGCAGCAGUAGGGAAUCUUCGGCAAUGGACGAAAGUCUGACCGAGCAACGCCGCGUGAGUGAAGAAGGUUUUCGGAUCGUAAAGCUCGGUUGUAAGAGAAGAACGGGUGUGAGAGUGGAAAGUUCACACUGUGACGGUAGCUUACCAGAAAGGGACGGCUAACUACGUG